rnacentral:misc_RNA from 1 species
CGGCUGUAGCAUUGUUGGAUGUUUCAGAUCUGCACUUACCCUGAUCUCUAUGAUGUUCCGCACUGGUUUCAACCCUCAAGCAGUGACUUUAACUGGCCUGUUAAAGAUAUUGUUGAGAUCUGAGGACUUUGAUGGAGCAUUAGAAUUGUUGAAUCAAGGAAUAUUAGAAGGGAUCCAGCUUGAUGUACUUCUAUAUAACACCAUUUUUCAAGUGGCAGCUGAGAAGGGAAGAAUAGAUGUCAUCGAACUCAUUGUUGAGCACAUGCACCUCCAAGGGGUUCUCCCAGAUCCAUCAACAUGCAGUCAUGUUUUCGCUGCAUAUGUAGACCAUGGAUUCUAUAACACUGCCAUGGAAGCUUUGCAAGUUUUGAG